rnacentral:lncRNA from 1 species
CCUGGAUCUCACUGCAACCUGAGUGCCAGAGCUGUGAAGACUGCAGCAAAGUCCUCCAACUGCCACGAAAGCCUCUCCUAAUUCACCAGUUCCAGAAGGCUGCCUGCUUCCCUGGCCACAGGGGUAGGCUUGGCUGUUACCUUCCCAAAUGGAAAAUGAGGGUGUAGAUUUCAUUGCCCAUUACUGCCCACUUCUCCUGAUCUACCUUUGAUGAUACCAGAGUGGAUUACAUUAUUUGGACUGUAUGCUAUCCUGGGCUAUUCCGAGGACAACACUUGAAACGGGAAAGAAUGAUGUGCCUGGGCCCACCAGAGAUUAUGGGAAACCUUGAUGCUGUUUAUCACCUUGAUUCAAAUUUCAUGUUCACAGCCUGAGUCUACAAAGAAGAGAAACAGAAGAGGGAAGCCUGGUGUAAAACUCUUUCAUUCCAUUCUUGUCUGUCUUUAUCUGCUCCAACUGUGAGGGCUGCUUACCCUAGAAGCAGAUCAAUGCAGAGAUGGACACAUUUGCAGCACCUACAAAGGGUGAGAAAAGACAGGGGAUUCCCAGGCACCGGAAGAAUGAGGAAAACAGUGACCUUUGUUCCCAGGCUACAGAAAAAUGCUGUAUCUAAACUGACAUCGGCCGGCUGGAUGGCAUUUAGAAGCCAAAUGAACUGCUGUUAAGCGGCGAGGUCAGGGGUUCAGCUAAUUGUGGAACCACGGGCACUCCCCACAGACCCAGAAAUCUUUGUAAUCUAUGGCUUAGGGACAUACAUUGUGAAGGUGAUUUUUACAGUUCAUCUUUGAAAAUAGAAAGA